UGGGGAAUAUUGGACAAUGGGCGCAAGCCUGAUCCAGCCAUGCCGCGUGAGUGAUGAAGGCCCUAGGGUUGUAAAGCUCUUUCACCGGUGAAGAUAAUGACGGUAACCGGAGAAGAAGCCCCGGCUAACUUCGUGCCAGCAGCCGCGGUAAUACGAAGGGGGCUAGCGUUGUUCGGAUUUACUGGGCGUAAAGCGCACGUAGGCGGACUAUUAAGUCAGGGGUGAAAUCCCGGGGCUCAACCCCGGAACUGCCUUUGAUACUGGUAGUCUUGAGUUCGAGAGAGGUGAGUGGAAUUCCGAGUGUAGAGGUGAAAUUCGUAGAUAUUCGGAGGAACACCAGUGGCGAAGGCGACUUACUGGGCUCAUUCUGACGCUGAGGAACGAAAGCGUGGGUAGCAAACAGG
rnacentral:rRNA from 1 species